AUGACCGUGACGCUCGAGGAUGUCUCGUUGAUCACCGGUCUUGCUAUCGACGGGAUGCCUCUCUGUAUGAGCACCGAUUCUGAUGGGUGGCGCGAGCAGAUGAUUGCUCUUAUCGGUAUGGCUCCUACCGAGGCUGAGGCUGAUGUAGAGGAGGGAGAAGAGAAGAAGAAGAAGGAAAGGAAAGCAUCCGGAGCUGCUUUCACGUGGAUUCAAACUCACUUUGCGAUGUGCCCUCCGGAUGCCACUGAUGACGUGAUCCAGACACAUGCUCGUGUCUACAUGUGGUAUGUUGUGUCGAGGACUUUGUUUCCUGACUCCACUGGCAAGAACGCUCCAUGGAUGUGGCUGAAGGCGUUGACCGUCUUCGAUAGCAAAUGGAGCUGGGGUUCAGCGACUCUUGCCUACUUGUACCGACAGCUGGACGAUGCGUGUUGCAGGAUCACAGAUAGUGCAGGCAUUGGUGGUAAUAUGCUUCUACUUUCUGUAUGGAGCUGGGAGCGUCUGCCUGUUGGACGCCCGAAGAGCGUCAGGUUUAAUCCUUGGUAUGAAGAUGAAGAUGACGAAUUACGGCGCCCCACUUGGGCUUACAAGUGGGAUGUGGUUUCCGAGAUGACGAACGAUGUCAAUCUCAUGUACCAGAAGUACGUUGCCGAGUUGGACACGAUUACGCCUGAGCAG
rnacentral:rRNA from 1 species